CGCUGGCGGUAUGCCUUAUACAUGCAAGUCGUACGGGAGUUUUUAACUCAAGUGGCGGACGGGUGAGUAACACGUAAGAAUUUGCCUUUAGGAGGGGGAUAACAACUGGAAACGGUUGCUAAUACCCCAUAUGCUUUCGAGUGAAAUGGAUUUCCGCCUAAAGAGAAGCUUGCGGCUGAUUAGCUUGUUGGUGAGGUAAUGGCUCACCAAGGCGACGAUCAGUAUCUGGUUUGAGAGGACGAUCAGACACACUGGAACUGAGACACGGUCCAGACUCCUACGGGAGGCAGCAGUAGGGAAUUUUCCGCAAUGGGCGAAAGCCUGACGGAGCAAUACCGCGUGAGGGAUGACUGCCUAUGGGUUGUAAACCUCUUUUUUCAGGGAGGGACACAAUGACGUGUACCUGAAGAAUAAGCAUCGGCUAACUCCGCG
rnacentral:rRNA from 1 species